rnacentral:rRNA from 1 species
UUGGGCGGCAUCUAGCUCUCUGCAACACUCACAUGGUUGCCCACUGAAGCGAAGCAGAGCUGAGGCUGGUCAGUACCUGGAUGGGGGACCAUAUGGGAAAGCUAGGUUGCUGCCAGAA